rnacentral:lncRNA from 1 species
GACUGGCAGAGCAAUCUUCUGUUUGCUACAGCAAGGCUUGAAAAAUGUUCUCCUGCUUCAAAGAGAAAGGAAUAUGAUGUUAAGAACACGUGCGUGAGUUGAUUUGUUGAGAAGAUGGAAGGGGACCCCAUGUUAGAAUAAAGGUGAUGGUGAUUGCCGGAAGAGUUUUCCCAUUUGCCACAAAUGGAUCAGGCGUUAGUGCU